rnacentral:rRNA from 1 species
UACGUAGGGAGCAAGCGUUGUCCGGAAUCAUUGGGCGUAAAGCGCGCGUAGGUGGCCUCAUAAGUCCGCUGUGAAAGUCAAAGGCUCAACCUUUGAAAGCCGGUGGAUACUGUGAGGCUAGAGUACGGAAGAGGCGAGUGGAAUUCCUGGUGUAGCGGUGAAAUGCGCAGAUAUCAGGAGGAACACCAGCGGCGAAGGCGGUGCUCUGGGCCGGAACUGACGCUGAGGAGCGAAAGCGUGGGGAGCGAACAGG